GAUGAACGCUGGCGGCGUGCCUAAUACAUGCAAGUCGAGCGAACAGACGAGGAGCUUGCUCCUCUGACGUUAGCGGCGGACGGGUGAGUAACACGUGGAUAACCUACCUAUAAGACUGGGAUAACUUCGGGAAACCGGAGCUAAUACCGGAUAAUAUAUUGAACCGCAUGGUUCAAUAGUGAAAGACGGUUUUGCUGUCCCUUAUAGAUGGAUCCGCGCCGCAUUAGCUAGUUGGUACGGUAACGGCUUACCAAGGCAACGAUGCGUAGCCGACCUGAGAGGGUGAUCGGCCACACUGGAACUGAGACACGGUCCAGACUCCUACGGGAGGCAGCAGUAGGGAAUCUUGCGCAAUGGGCGAAAGCUUGACGGAGCAACGCCGCGUGAGUGAUGGAGGUCUUCGGAUCGUAAAACUCUGUUAUUAGGGAAGAACAAAUGUGUAAGUAACUAUGCACGUCUGGACGGUACCUAAUCAGAAAGCCACGGCUAACUACGU
rnacentral:rRNA from 1 species